rnacentral:rRNA from 1 species
AUUGAACGCUGGCGGCAUGCCUUACACAUGCAAGUCGAACGGUAACAGGUCUUCGGAUGCUGACGAGUGGCGAACGGGUGAGUAAUACAUCGGAACGUGCCUAGUAGUGGGGGAUAACUACUCGAAAGAGUGGCUAAUACCGCAUGAGAUCUACGGAUGAAAGCAGGGGAUCGCAAGACCUUGUGCUACUAGAGCGGCCGAUGGCAGAUUAGGUAGUUGGUGGGAUAAAAGCUUACCAAGCCGACGAGCUGUAGCUGGUCUGAGAGGACGAGCAGCGGCACGGGGACUGAGACACGGCCCAGACGCCUACGGGAGGCAGCAGUAGGGAAUUGUGGACAAUGGGCGAAAGCCUGAUCCAGCAAUGCCGCGUGCAGGAUGAAGGCCUUCGGGUUGUAAACUGCUUUUGUACGGAACGAAAAGCCCUGGGUUAAUACCCUGGGGUCAUGACGGUACCGUAAGAAUAAGCACCGGCUAACUACGUGCCAGCCGCCGCAGUAAUAC